rnacentral:rRNA from 1 species
GACUGGCCAGUAUCUCCCUGAGCAGACCUUGGAGUCGGGUUGUUUGUGAAUGCAGCCCAAAGUGGGUGGUAAACUCCAUCCAAGGCUAAAUACUAGCACGAGUCCGAUAGCGAACAAGUACCGUGAGGGAAAGUUGAAAAGUACUUUGAAGAGAGAGUAAACAGUGCGUGAAACCGUUCAGAGGUAAACGGGUGGAGUUGAACUGCAAGCUCUGAGGAUUCAGCUGGUGAGAUUGGCGUGAGCUUGGUCACGUGAGUUGUAUUGCCGUGUCUGCUUAGCUGCAGGUUCUCGCUUCGGUGGGGAUGCGCGUCUAGCUUAUCAAGCUUUGCGCGCACGGGAACUUUUCGAACUCGCUUGCCAGUGCACUUUCUCAGAGUGUUCACCACGACCGGCGUUGUCGUCUGGCUGUUGCGGUUAAACCGGUCUUGUAGGGUCCUUGUGGCCUUGCUUGGUCGGGAUGGCAGGUAGCCCGUUGUGUAUUUAUAUGCUUCGGGUGUAAUAGCCGACUGCAUCGGUUCUGUGCGGUACGUCGGAGACGGCGGCUUGUUGUGCGUGCGGGCGUGCCUGUGCGCCGGCGGCUCUGGGUCUGGUUGCCUUGUUGCUUGUGAAUGCAGGCCAGGUGAUGGCUCGGGGUUGUUCGGUGUGCGGUUGCGUUUGUGGCACUUUGAAGGGCCAAUAGUCUGUGGUGUAGUGGUAGACUAUCCACCCGACCCGUCUUGAAACACGGACCAAGGAGAGUAACAUGUGCGCGAGUCAUUGGGCGUUACGAAACCCAAAGGCGCAGUGAAAGUAAAGGUUCGGCUUGUCCGGGCUGAGGUGAGAUCUUGUCGUUUCUCACGCAUGGUACUACCAAGCAUCGAGCGGCAGGCGCAUCACCGGCCCGUCCCAUGGCGUAGUGGCGGCUUCGUGCUUGCUCAUCGUCGGGGCGGAGCAUGAGCGUACAUGUUGAGACCCGAAAGAUGGUGAACUAUGCUUGCGCAGGUUGAAGCCAGAGGAAACUCUGGUGGAGGACCGCAGCGAUUCUGACGUGCAAAUCGAUCGU